rnacentral:rRNA from 1 species
UACGUAGGGUGCGAGCGUUAAUCGGAAUUACUGGGCGUAAAGCGUGCGCAGGCGGUUUGUUAAGUCCGCUGCUGAAAGCCCCGGGCUCAACCUGGGAAUGGCGGUGGAAACUGGCGAGCUAGAGUGUGUCAGAGGGGGGUGGAAUUCCACGUGUAGCAGUGAAAUGCGUAGAGAUGUGGAGGAACACCAAUGGCGAAGGCAGCCCCCUGGGAUAACACUGACGCUCAGGCACGAAAGCGUGGGGAGCAAACAGG